CCGAUACAUACAGGAUUCAUGUUACUUAACUAUGAAUCCUGGCAUAGGAUUCAUGCUAGGUAGCAGUGUAAAGGAAUCCUUUAGUCCUUCAAAGGAUUCCUUUGACUAGAUUCGAGCUUGAAUCCUCAAUCCUUCACGCACAGACUGACGGGAAGGUUUCACAGAAGGCAAUCCCACAAAAUGGCGGCGCCCCUAAUUUACGUGGGUCCAGAGGAUCGAAAGUGAAAUAAGGUCAUAGAAAUUUCCGGAGAAGUUAUUAUUGGCGGUUGCAACUUAUUUCUCAUCGAGGGAAGGUUUCAAGCUGCUGGUAGGCAUGUUGGGAAGCUGCCCAAAGCGAGGCCCGCGGUUCGGUUAAAAUUCGUCUGCAGGCGCUCGUCUGCGUUUGUUGUGUUUUUUUUGCAUCGAACUUACGGAUUGAUUUUGACUGUCUCUCUGGCUCUGGGAUUGCCUGAAGAGAACAGUUCUCAGGACCAAACACAGACCCACAGAACAUAUGCUGCGCACAGAACAACUCGAAGUGACUGGGUGGAGAGACAUUUAUGACAAACUUCUCGCAACUGGCACAGAGCUCUCAGUCAGUGCUCCAACAUCCUUCUUUGGUAUGAUUUGUAAGCAGGAACAGCCCGUGGACAUCUAUAGUUGUUGGGACAACAGCAACAUUCUGUUUCAGCUGCUUGGAACUCAACCAUGAGAAUUCACUCCACCUCCCAGAAGUAUGGAUGAAUACUAGUACGUUUCCAACCCACAUGGAUCCUAAAGCCUGUCUGCGGCGCCAUGAUGACUAUAGAUGUACAACUGGAUCAUCACCCAGAGCCCUAGCCUUAAAGUGUAUGAUGAUGCAGGACCUGCUUGGAGAUUAACCUGAAUGCCGAGAUGAGCAUGAUUGGGAUCCAGACUUUUUUCCAUUCCUUUGUGGAAGCGCAAGCUGUACAACUCCUUUUAGGAGUUUCAGAAGAUCUGCAACAGGCAGCUCAGGAGAGGGAUGGAGUCACCUUAGACAGUGCUGUGGUGUGGACCAGUAGGGAAGGGGAAAAGGAGCAGGAAGGACAAAGAAAAAGGGAAAGAAGAAUGUGCCCCCAAAUCAGUUUGAUUCAGAAGAUGACAUCCCUCUUACUGAACUGAUGUCCUAGGAAGAACGAGAUGGCUGUACUAGUAUGCAUGAGAGGGCUGCAAUAGCCUAUAUGCACAUUUACUGUGACCUACAACAAAACACCUCAUUUUUAUUACUUACUAUUACGUAGUAACCUGGCUAGUCAAAAACAAACACAAUGUCUAGUUGAUGAAUGUUAGCAGACAGCAAAAUGUGAUGAUUUAAAAAGAAAUAAACAGAAAUUUCAUAUUCUGAAAAAGACAAUGGUGUUUAUUUUGUUCAACGUGUAUGCAACAUGAAUUUAGAUGGCGUCAUUA